rnacentral:rRNA from 1 species
ACACCUACGGGUGGCAGCAGUUGGGAAUCUUGCGCAAUGGGGGAAACCCUGACGCAGCGACGUCGCGUGGACGAUGAAGGAUCUAGGUCUGUAAAGUCCUUUUUCACGGAAAGACUUAGGACGGUACCGUGAGAAUAAGCACCGGCUAACUACGUGCCAGCAGCCGCGGUAAGACGUAGGGUGCAAGCGUUGUCCGGAUUUACUGGGCGUAAAGAGCGCGUAGGCGGUCUAUUAAGUGUGAAGUGAAAUCUCCAGCGCUCAACGCGGAAACGGCUUUACAUACUGACAGACUAGAGGGACGAAGAGGUGAGUGGAAUUCCUGGUGUAACGGUGAAAUGUGUUGAUAUCAGGAGGAACACCGAUGGCGAAGGCAGCUCACUGGUCGUUUCCUGACGCUGAGGCGCGAAAGCGUGGGUAGCAAACAGGAUUAGAUACCCUGGUAGUCCACGCCCUAAACUAUGGAUACUAGGCGUAGGAGGUAUCGACCCCUUCUGUGCCGCAGCUAACGCAUUAAGUAUCCCGCCUGGGGAGUACGGCCGCAAGGUUGAAACUCAAAUGAAUUGACGGGGACCCGCACAAGCGGUGGAGCAUGUGGUUUAAUUCGAUAAUAACCGAAGAACCUUACCCAGGUUUGACAUCGUCGGACAUCCUAUGAAAGUAGGCUUCCCCCAAAGGGCCGGCAGACACUUGUUGCAUGGCUGUCGUCAGCUCGUGCCGUGAGGUGUACGGUUAAGUCCGCCAACGAGCGCAACCCACGUCCUGUGUUACCAGCGAGAAAGUCGGGCACUCACAGGAGACCGCCGGUGUAAGCCGGAGGAAGGUGUGGAUGACGUCAAGUCAGCAUGGCAGUUACACCUGGGGCUACACACAUGCUACAAUGGGCGAAACAAAGGGCAGCAAUACCGCGAGGUGGAGCAAAUCCCAAAAAUACGCCCUCAGUUCAGAUUGUAGUCUGCAACUCGACUACAUGAAGGUGGAAUCGCUAGUAAACGCAGGUCAGCUAUACUGCGUUGAAUACGUUCCCGGGUCUUGUACACACCGCCCGU